GACAGUCUCAGUUCAGAUUGUAGGCUGAAACUCGCCUAUAUGAAGUCGGAAUUGCUAGUAAUCGCAGAUCAGCAUGCUGCGGUGAAUACGUUCCCGGGCCUUGUACACACCGCCCGUCAAGCCAUGGGAGCCGGGGGUGCCUGAAGUUCGUGACCGCAAGGAGCGACCUAGGGCAAAACUGGUGACUGGGGCUAAGUCGUAACAAGGUAAC
rnacentral:rRNA from 1 species